UGACAGGUGCUGCAUGGCUGUCGUCAGCUCGUGUCGUGAGAUGUUGGGUUAAAGUCCCGCAACCGAGCGCAACCCUUGUCUUAGUUGCCAUCAUUAAGUUGGGCACUCUAAAGAGACUGCCGGUGUCAAACCGGAGGAAGGUGGGGAUGACGUCAAGUCCUCAUGGCCUUUAUGACCAGGGCUACACACGUACUACAAUGGCAGGUACAAAGGGCAGCCACUUAGCGAUAAGGCGCGAAUCCCGUAAAGCCGGUCUCAGUCCGGAUUGGAGUCUGCAACUCGACUCCAUGAAGUUGGAAUCGCUAGUAAUCGCGGAUCAGCACGCCGCGGUGAAUACGUUCCCGGGCCUU
rnacentral:rRNA from 1 species